GAGUUUGAUCGUGGCUCAGGACGAACGCUGGCGGCGUGCCUAAUACAUGCAAGUCGAGCGGGUUUAUCCUUCGGGAUAAGCUAGCGGCGGACGGGUGAGUAACACGUAGGUAACCUGCCUUUAAGACUGGGAUAACUAUCGGAAACGAUAGCUAAGACCGGAUAACUGGUUUUCUCGCAUGAGAGAAUCAUAAAACACGGAGCAAUCUGUGACCUAGAGAUGGGCCUGCGGCGCAUUAGCUAGUUGGUGAGGUAACGGCUCACCAAGGCGACGAUGCGUAGCCGACCUGAGAGGGUGAACGGCCACACUGGGACUGAGACACGGCCCAGACUCCUACGGGAGGCAGCAGUAGGGAAUCUUCCGCAAUGGACGCAAGUCUGACGGAGCAACGCCGCGUGAGUGAUGAAGGUUUUCGGAUCGUAAAGCUCUGUUGCCCUAGACGAACAGCAUGAGGAGUAACUGCCUUGUGUGUGACGGUAUAGGAGAAGAAAGCCCGGCUAACUACGUGCCAGCA
rnacentral:rRNA from 1 species